CUGAGCCCCUCUGGAACCCAGGGAGGGACCAAGACAGAGAGGCAACAGAAGAUCCCAUGAGGUCAAGUGGGCUCUCUCUGGGUGAAGUGCUGGAUGCCAGAAAUAUUUACAUAAAUUAAAUAUUGCAAUAAAAAAGACUACUAUGCCCUGCCUGGCUAAAGACACUGACUACAAUCACACCGAGCUGAAGCUGUAUCCACCUGCAGAGACAUAUGCCAACAGGCAUGCCUUCCUGAAUGCACACCAGUAUCCAUCUUCCCUUCUCCCAGCCUCUCCUGACCAAGCUGCUCAUACUGAGUCUGAGGUCCUGAAGCAGAGAUCGAUGAAUGGUGGUGUUUAUCUUGAUUUCUCUCUUUAUUCCGUCCAGAUUGGGCCAUAGUGAUGUCGAUGCCCAGGGUGGGUCUUCCUGCUUCCGUUAGUCUCCUAUUUCACAGACACGCCCAAAGACUUGUACCCAAGAUGAGUCUAGGUCCAGCAAGUUGGCAAUCGAUAUUAACCACCACUUGUUUGAAAAACAACCCAAAUACCACAUUCUGUAUGGCGUGGAAACUUUAUGAUUUAAAGUAAGACUUUUAUUCAAAGACUUCAGAGUUAUCAAUGAAAGCCAAGUGGGCUUUAAAAUAAAUAAUUGCUAUAUUUCA